CCUAAGCCGUGUCCAACGUUUGACCGUCCAUCUUAUUUGAAAAAAUAUAAAAAAAAUUAAAAAGACAAGUCACGCAUAAAGUAUUAAUCAUGUUUUAUCAUCUUGCAACAAUGAAAAUACCAAUUAUAAAAAAAUUUUAUAUAAGACGGACAGUCAAACGUUGGACACGGAAGCCCAAGGUUUGCUUUUUU
rnacentral:pre_miRNA from 1 species